UCACCUUCAGUUUGGCUGUGCAGUAGGUCUCUUCAAUUCCGUUGUACCUUUCUUCGCCGCCUUCCCUUCUGGAUUCCCUCUCCUGUUGGCUGAAUCGGGGGCUGAGGAAUUCAAGCUCUUGCUCGACUCUGACGAUAAUUCCCCUGUUGUCGUUGUCGCUCUUGAUCCUCCUAGCAAGGUCGGUGUCGAUGUUGAAUGCCUCGGCCAAGAACUGCUCGUCGAUGGCUUGGAAGAUGUUGCCGGAUCUCUGCCCUUGCUGUCCCCUGUGUUGUUCGCCUGCCUGGUGUAGGUGUCUCGACUGCUGCCCUCUCUGCCCC
rnacentral:lncRNA from 1 species